CCUACGGGUGGCAGCAGUGGGGAAUAUUGCACAAUGGGGGCAACCCUGAUGCAGCGACGCCGCGUGAGUGAAGAAGGACUUCGUUAUGUAAAGCUCUAUCAGCAGGGAAGAAAAUGACGAUACCUGAGUAAUAAGCCACGGCUAACUACGUGCCAGCAGCCGCGGGAAUACGUAGGGGGAAAGCGUUAUCCGGAUUUACUGGGUGUAAAGGGAACGUAGACGGCAGUGCAAGUCUGGAGUGAAAGGCGGGGGCUCAACCCGCGGAAUGCUCUGGAAACUGGACGGCUGGAGUGCAGGAGAGGUAAGUGGAAUUCCUAGUGUAGCGGUGAAAUGCGUAGAGAUGAGGAGGAACACCAGUGGCGAAGGCGGCUUACUGGACUUGAACUGACGUUGAGGUGCGAAAGCGUGGGUAGCAAACAGGAUUAGAUACCCUGGUAGUC
rnacentral:rRNA from 1 species